GUUAUCAUAUUUAAUACCUCUAUCAUGAAGAUGCUGACUGCGUUUCUGCAUGUGUGUCUCAUCAUUGCUGUGACACAAAGUCAUCCUCUUUUUGAGGAAAUUGGGUCAGGUGACUCAAGUAAUGCAGGUGUUGGUUCGCCAGGAGCAACGGGAGACCCACCAUUUGCAACAGAUGUUCCAGAUGAAACAACAACUGUGAUAGCUGACUCAACUACUCAAGAGAGAAUCUAUUAUGACUCAGAGGAAGAUCUAGGAUUUCUGAGAGACAAACCAACUGUGAUAGCUGACUCAACUAAUGAUGAUGGAUACUUUUAUGACUCAGAUGAAGAACUAGGACAUCCGAGAGUUUGGAGAGGCAGGUCUGAUGAUUCAUCUAAUGGAGAUGGAGAAAAUUCUGACACAUCGGAAGAUGCACCAGAUGCAGCAGAGGAAACAGGCGGGUCUGAUGAUUCAUCUAAUGGAGGUGGAGAAAGUUCUGACACAUCAGAAGAUGCACCAGAUGCAGCAGGUCGGUAUAUUUAUUGGAAUGCAUAUUAUUGUUUGUUUGCCUGUUUUUCUCCAAAAGUUGUAAAACAAAAGUACGACUUGGAUACUAACUACACUGCAGACUUGGUUUCUUGCGUUCUUCAAUAUUUAUUUUUUGUUUUAAGAAUUAUUUCACGAUGA
rnacentral:lncRNA from 1 species